rnacentral:lncRNA from 12 species
UUAUUAUUACACAGAGUGAGCAUUCAACCUUAGCUUAGGGAUUGGUUAUAGAAACAAUGCUCAGGUUUUGUCAGAAUGCCAAAGGCAUGAGGGAAAGGGAAACUCAUUCCAGCAUGUGGACCCUGGGAGUCAGGGGAACCUGCUGGAGGGAAUGAAUUGAGUGUUUAUGGCGACCUCUGCCACCAGCAGCUGGUGUCAACAAGGCUCCAAGAGGUGGAUUUGAUUGUUUUUAAAAGAGGAGGUAAGACAAAAGAAAUCAAUUAUGUGUAGGGCAAAAAAGCAAAGAAUUUGGAAUUAGAUCAUGAUUAGCAGUUCAGGCCUGCCAUGUCCUAACUUUGUGACUGUAGGCAUGUUUUUAACCUCUCUCAUUUUAGAAUAAGAUUAGUACGGGAAUAAUACUUUCCGAAUAAGGUAGUUGUGAACACUAAAUGACACAUAAAGUGGCCUAUGCAUAUGAACACUUAAAAAUAGAGGCAGUUGUUGCCACUGUUGUUACACUUCUUGCAUUAAAACAACUCGAUGGUUUUCUCUGAUCUUUACUCACAUAUUCAGGUCAUCAAACUCCAUACCCAGCACAAAGAGGCAUGAAACGAAUAAUCGUCUGUACCCAGUUCUAAGUUUUUAUUUUUUUUAUUUUUAUUUAUUUUUUUUUCAGUUCUAAGUUUUUAAAAAGUAAUCUCUGGGCCCAACGUGGGGCUUGGAUUCAUGACUCCAAGAUCAAGAGUCGCAUGUUGUACCAGCUGAGCCCGCCAGGCGCCAGCCACCAACCAUUCUAAUUUUUAAAUGGAGAGAGCUGUGUUUCCUUUUACGCAACAUCUGAAUAGGUACUUCCAGGGUGGCCCUGUGUAGGGAGCACCCACAUUCGCGAGUGUCUUCAUUCUAAUGUGUCUGAGGGGCAGGCAGGGGGAGAUACCGUUGGUGGGCUUUUCCUCUGAUGCCAUCCGUGUCUUGUUGUGGCGCUUGGGGCUCCUUGGGCGCUGGAAUGCCCCCGUGAACUCUGUAAUGACUCAUCGCCAGUAGGGUCCAUACAGCAACUUCUUUAAUUGCCUCCACGUCUCCCUCUCUCUCCAAAAAUGGAAUUCAUAAAUGCAGGUGUGGGAACAUAAUUAAGGACAUAAUGUUUUCCAUCUCUUCCUAACAACUGCUUUACUUCAUUCACAUUUCAGCUUGUAAAGCCUUACUCUCAAUGGAGUAACCCACAGGAGAACUUCACAGAUGCUAAAAACACAUACACACUAUAAAUUAAUUGUUGCCAAUUGAAGGAACUGAAGGAAAAAAAAAAAGAACUCGCACAAUCUAAUGUAAUGUAUUAGGUAUCUAGUGACAUAGCUUUACAUUUAAAUUCAUCUUAAUGUGCAGAUUUAGAUGCCAAUUACCAGUGCACAUACAACUGGUUCUUUUUGAUAAAUAUAGUCCAAUAGUUAACAGGUUAUUGUGUUGUUUCUGGGAAAUGGCCACCGUGUAUUAAAUAAAUAAGACCCUAUAACCA